CCUAGCACGUAGUAAGUGCUCAAUAAAUUAGUCUGCAUGACAGUGCAGCAGAAAGGAUCUCAGGCUUGGGAGUCUGGAGGACCUCAGUUUCAGGCGCCGAUGGACCAUUACCGACUGUAUGACCUCGAGCAAGUCGUUGUGUCUCAAAUUUGGGUUUCUCUAUGUGUAAAACGGGGUUGAUAAUGCCUACCCAGACUAUCUCAGGGAGUAGUUAGGGGGUUCGAUGAACUCAUGAACCAAGAAGAGGAGAAGACUGACGUUUACUGGGCCUGUCGUGUUCAGGGCACUGUGCCAAAUGCCCAUGCACAUUAUCACAUGGAAUCUUCUCAUGACAAUCUCACUUGACCCAUACAUCCCCCCUCCCUACUGGAUAUUUGGCUAGCACUACAUAUCUAAACCUGAACUUACGAUAAGAAUUGUAGCUAACCUUCACCAAGUACUUACUAUGUACCUGGCACUGUGCACUAACAGCUUUGAUGUUCCCUUUGACAGUGAAUAGCACCCCCCGUCCAGCCUUUGCCCAAGCUAGAAACCUGGAAGUCAACCUUGACUGCUCCCUCUUUCUCAACUCUUGCAUACCUGUCAGUCCCAAAUCCUGCCAAUUCUCUUUCUCAAAUCUCUUGACUCUCCAACUCACUGCCACUACCUGGUCCAAGCCGCAAUCACCUUCCAACUGGACUUCUGCAAAAGCCUCCUCACUGCUCUUCUUCCCUCUGGGACCGUUUCUCUAUAAUCCACUCUCCACAGCCAGAAUGAUCCUUCUGAAACAAACCUAAGAAGGACAUUCCCGUUCAUAAGCCUUCAGAGGUCCCCAUCAUUCUUAGGAUGAAGUCCCAAAUCUGUAUCAUAGCUUCAAAUGCCUUUUCUAAUCUGGCCUACCUCUACAUCCUCACCCUCAUCACAGCCACACUCUCCUCCCCAGCUGUACUGAACUAAUUUCAGUUCCCCGAAGGCCCUGAGCUUGCUCUCUAACCGCCAGGUCAUUCAUUGCACAUACUAUUCCUUCUGCCUGAAACAUUUUCA
rnacentral:lncRNA from 1 species